CUUUGAUGUGUUUGUGCUGCUGGACGUCCGUGGGAGCAUCGUCCCGUGCCUGCAGCUCCCUGCUCCAUGGGGCCCUGGCUCCAUGCAGGCCUUGGCACAACCCGUGUGCCACAGGGGCAGGACACCGCCACCCUCGGCAGCCUCUGCACUCCAAAGUCCAGGUGACAGCAGCAGCCCAGCCCAGCUGUGCCAAGACACCAAAGGCACAGAAUCCUGCCAGAGAUGGGGAGCCGGUUGUGGCAUGUGGGUGCCACCAGGCAGCAUCGCUUUGUCCCCGUGAGCUGUGGCAGGGGGGUCGGUCCCAUCCAUCCCGUGGGUCCAGUAUCGUGCACAGGAAUUGAACUCCAUGACGGGUCCCUACCGCAUCAGCAUAUUCCAUCAUUCAGUGACAACCCACAACGAUUUUCUGGAAUUUCAGCUGGCUUCAUCCUGGCGCAGGAGUCCCAAAUCCCAGAGCUGUGAGAACAGAGCUGGCACUGAACUGCCCCUGAAACUCCCUGCUGGUAUCAGCAGCAUCCCAGGACCCUGCAACCCAACCCCCCCGGGCCAGCACGGCGAGAAGGGGCACGCCCAGACCUCUGUGGGUGAUGUCUCCCAGAAAACCUGCCCGAAACCUGUGCGGGGCGAGUGUCCACAUGGCAGGAUGAUUUCCUUGAGCGUGUGCUCCAGGAGAGGCAAACCCAGCAGCACAGAGCCGGGUGAAACUGGGGGGAUGCCCGCAAGUGAUGCAAGCAUGACUUGGAUGAGCUUGGAUGAGCUUGGAUGAGCUUGGCAUUGCACCACGGUCCAGAAAUCCAGUAUCAGGUUCAUGCCCGGGCUUGUGCACAGAGAAUCACCCUUGGGUUUUCGCUGCUGUGAGCGAUGGUUUUUGAUUAUUUAACGGAGAUACCGGAGGAGGUUUGAUCCUGGCCCCUCCACACACUCCGGUGAGCGAUUUGUUUGCUGAGGUGAUGAAAACUGCCUCGGCAGGAAAAGGAGGAAUGGAAGAAAAAGCAAAGGAAUGGAUGGCUUUGAAGGAAGAUGAAACACACAUGAAAUACAAACGUGUCCCACACGUCCCCAGGGCUCGGACAAAGCUGGGCUGGGUUCUGCAUUCCAGAGAGUCGGGGUCACCCCCUGCAUCUCCUCUGUGGGUGCAGAGCUGCCCCCAUCCCCAAGCUGGGUGUCUGUGACACCCUGAGGAGUCACCCUGGAGAGGGACAGGAGAGGGACAUGCAAGGUCUGCAGCACCAGGGUGCAGACAAAGGCAUGAACAAGCAUGGAGGGGACAGGGACGUGCACCAAAGGACAGGGAGAGCUGCAUUUCCAGCAGCCCGUGUGGGUUGGGACAGGCCUGGGGACAAGCACAUUGUCACUGGAGCUCCACAAACCCCACCACGCUCUGUUUACACAACAGAGAAUGUUUCAGUUGUUUUAUGGAGGUGCAUAGGAACAGCACAGGGACUAACGAGGCCAGGGCCAGGCUAAGCAACGCCUGCCCAGCACCUGCUCUCCCCUCACAGCCCAUAAAGACAUUUUAUUUUAAACGUAACACAGAUUUUACAGCGCAAUUUGGCAGCAGCACCUUUUGCCCAGGUACAAACCGUGCGGGCAAAGCUGCUCCUCCAGGACGUCUUCCUGUCUGUCACUAAUCCCUGGGUGAGAGUUCCUGAGCUGACUUUACACACUGAGAAACGAUGGCCAGGAGCAACCCUGCAAUUAAAUCCAGUUUCAGCAGCCCGUGAGGAGGAAAAAUCCGUGGGUGCCAAGCCUGGUGCAGCAGCCGUGCCAGGGCAGGGACAUGCAUGGCACCAACCUCUGCCCGUGGCAGCAGGGACUGAUUGUCCUUUGUCCCAUCCCAGCCCUGAACAUCCUGAUGGGACCAAAUCCCACUGCACUGCCAGGAGGAAAGUCAUUCUCUAUGGGCACGUGCUGCCAGAGCACUGUGGCAGAGGGAUGGCAUGAUCGGUGUGAUUUAACCUGUGACUGUCCAGGCACAAUUCUCCACUCAGCCAUUUAAGAAAAGCAAAAUUAAAAAAAAAAAACAGGGUUGAGGCCAUUCUUGCAAAUCUAGCCUCUUUUCUCUGGAGAAUCAUGGCUUAAUCCCAUUAUGGAGAAGUUUGGGGAUAGUUUUGCCUCACAGACUCCAUGACCAGCGCAUUUUUAUCUGCUCAGACCUUCCAGGAUGCUCUACCUGCUUUGAUUCACACUUAAUUACUAAAAAUUAAGGUUUUUUCAGAGCACGAGGGAGGGUGGGGGUGCAUGUACCAGCAUGAGGAGGGCUAACCCUCCGUGCUGCUCCAAAAUCCAGGCAGCAGAGCAAUGCCAAGCCAAGCACGGUGGGGAAAGCAGGAGAGAUCCAGUUUGAUGUCUGCCUUAUCAGUCUUAUUUUUAUUGCACCAAAGGUAUAAGAGCAAAAUAUUGAUUGUGAUGAUAAAGAGAUGAAAGUGUCAAGAAGGAAUAGGCACACAAGUUACUCAGGCGAUUGGAAGCCGCGUUGGUUGCAUUUAACAGGCAUUUGCCAUUAAAAAAAAAACGCCUGUUUUUAUUUAAAUAGCCUCGGGCAAAUUUCUCACUAAACCAACUUUCCCACGCCAGCCUAGUGCUCUAACUCUGGUUUUUGGCAAAUUUUUUCCUGAGCUGUCAAGGCAAAAUAUAUAUAAGAAUGCUGGUCUCACUUAGGUUUUUUUCCAGCCCCUGGAGACAUGAAAAUAAUUUACAGAUGUGCAUUACCUGUUUAUAUUUGUAUUAAGUUUUGCUUAACGGACAUGAUUUUCUUAGCUUGCAGUAACAAAAAAAUAUUCCCAGAGUUUCACUCAUUUAAUUUUAACUUAUUAAAACUUUUAAACAUG